ensembl:lncRNA
GCCUGUUGUUGAUAGAAACUCUCAGGAACUUCCAGAAGACUCAGGUGAUACAUAUAUGAACUCUUUUGGCCAGUAAGCUAUUCCUUGCAGAAAUGGCAGCCUGUUUUCAAAAGAUGCUAUCUUUGAGGCUUGAUUACAAAUAUAGCACUUCAGCUAUUAUAGAAAUUCAAUUUUUCCCAUCAGUGUAUGAGUGAAGUGUGUGUUCUAGUGUGAUGAUCUAACAGCACUAAAGGCUGAUGUUUCUCCACAAUUUAAAUGAAGAUUCUAAAGUCUUUCUUUUUCCUCCCACACCAGUGCCCCAGCUGUAGAUUGGAGAGCCAGACUUUCGUGGUGGUAAGAGGCAGUUAUACCAACAUGGAGCUGAGUAAGGAUGAUCAGUCACACUUCCAUCCUGCUCCAGGCACUCGUCACUAGUGGACAGCUAUGCAUAGCUGAAGGGAAGGGGCAGAGUAGUUUACCAACAAACCAGCAAGGUCGUCAAUUAAGAUGUAGAACAAGACUGGACCCAGCUCUGAUGCCUGAGGAACAUCACUAGUUACAGACCUCCAACCAGACUCUGCACAGCUGAUGACAACCCUCUGAGCUCUCCCAGUCAGCCAGCUUCAGCGAAUACACCUUACUGUCCACUCAUCUAUCCCAGUUUUAUCGUUGAAAUUGAAGAGUAAGAAAGGGUCCACAGAAAUUAAGGGUAAAAGAAAAUUAGAGAUAGUUUACAGAAGCAAAUAUGCAGAGGCUGCUAGAAGAAUGGGAUAGUAACAAGAUAGGAUUAGAACAAUACAGGGGGUAAAAGAGAUAAAAAUGUGGGUUUGAGAACAGCUCAAGGGCACCAGGCGAGGAGGUGAUAAGAUGUCCACAGAGUAAGUUAGAACUGGUUCAGACGCUACCCCUCCCUCAGGGUCAGAAGUUUACAGCAAGGAAGACUACGAGCCUUUGUGGGGAAGACUACGAGCCUUCAUCCAACGACCACCAGGAGGAGACCCCCACUGCUCAUGAUGCAUGCUCGAGGGGGAGGGACCGUAUGCUAAGGAGUUCUCAGAAAUGUAAUGAAUAUGUAUACGAAGUCUGGGAAAAUCAUUGAUUAUGUAUUAGUUCUGCCUAUAUCCGUUACCAAGAUUUUGUCCUACAGUGUGCAAGUUAGGAGGAGCUAUCCGCCUUGCAUCUGGCUCUGAGCAGUGUUGAUUAAAACAUACCUG